GAAAUGCGAUAAGUAAUGCGAAUUGCAGAAUUUCCGUGAGUCAUCGAAUCUUUGAACGCACAUUGCGCCCACUGGUAUUCCGGUGGGCAUGCCUGUUCGAGCGUCAUUAUCCUCCCUCAAACCCCGGGUUUGGUGUUGGGCCUCAGGUUGUGCGAACAACCGGCCCCAAAGACAAUGACGGCGUCCGUGGGACCCUCGGUGCAACGAGCUUUCCGAAGCACGCGUCGAGGUUUCAACGUCCCUCCGGGCCGGUCUCCUUACACUCUUUUUUUUUACAAGGUUGACCUCGGAUCAGGUAGGAAUACCCGCUGAACUUAAGC
rnacentral:misc_RNA from 1 species